rnacentral:rRNA from 1 species
CGGGUGAGUAACACGCAUCCAACCUGCCGUCUACUCUUGGACAGCCUUCUGAAAGGAAGAUUAAUCCAGGAUGGCAUCAUGAGUUCACAUGUCCGCAUGAUUAAAGGUAUUUUCCGGUAGACGAUGGGGAUGCGUUCCAUUAGAUAGUAGGCGGGGUAACGGCCCACCUAGUCUUCGAUGGAUAGGGGUUCUGAGAGGAAGGUCCCCCACAUUGGAACUGAGACACGGUCCAA